rnacentral:rRNA from 1 species
AGCAGCCGCGGUAAUUCCAGCUCCAAUAGCGUAUAUUAAAGUUGUUGCAGUUAAAAAGCUCGUAGUUGAAUUUCGGGAUCAAAGGAUCGGUCAUGCCUUGGUAUGUACUGGUUUUAUUGGUUCUCACCUUCUAAAGAACCAUAAUGUCAUUCAUUUGAUGUUAUGGGGAAUUAGGACUGUUACCUUGAAAAAAUUAGAGUGUUUAAAGCAGGCUUACGCUUGAAUACAUUAGCAUGGAAUAAUGAAAUAGGACAUCAGAUUCUAUUUUGUUGGUUUCUAGGAUCGAUGUAAUGAUUAAUAGGGAUAGUUGGGGGCAUUAGUAUUCAAUUGUCAGAGGUGAAAUUCUUGGAUUUAUUGAAGACUAACUACUGCGAAAGCAUUUGCCAAGGAUGUUUUCAUUAAUCAAGAACGAAAGUUAGGGGAUCGAAGACGAUCAGAUACCGUCGUAGUCUUAACCAUAAACUAUGCCGACUAGGGAUCGGAUGAUGUUAAUUUUAUAAUGACUCU